UUUCUGACCUGGAUCCCCAG
rnacentral:miRNA from 1 species